rnacentral:rRNA from 1 species
AUUGAACGCUGGCGGCAGGCUUAACACAUGCAAGUCGAGCGGGGUGAUGGUGCUUGCACUAUCACUUAGCGGCGGACGGGUGAGUAAUGCUUAGGAAUCUGCCUAUUAGUGGGGGACAACAUCUCGAAAGGGAUGCUAAUACCGCAUACGUCCUACGGGAGAAAGCAGGGGAGCACUUGUGACCUUGCGCUAAUAGAUGAGCCUAAGUCGGAUUAGCUAGUUGGUGGGGUAAAGGCCUACCAAGGCGACGAUCUGUAGCGGGUCUGAGAGGAUGAUCCGCCACACUGGGACUGAGACACGGCCCAGACUCCUACGGGAGGCAGCAGUGGGGAAUAUUGGACAAUGGGGGGAACCCUGAUCCAGCCAUGCCGCGUGUGUGAAGAAGGCCUUAUGGUUGUAAAGCACUUUAAGCGAGGAGGAGGCUCUUUUGGUUAAUACCCAAGAUGAGUGGACGUUACUCGCAGAAUAAGCACCGGCUAACCACGUGCCAGCCGCCGCCGUAA